UCGCCCUUCCUACGGGGGGCAGCAGUAAGGAAUAUUGGGCAAUGGGCGCGAGCCUGACCCAGCCAUGCCGCGUGCAGGAAGACGGCCCUAUGGGUUGUAAACUGCUUUUAUACGGGAAUAAUAGAGUGUACGCGUACAUUUAUGCAAGUAUCGUAUGAAUAAGCAUCGGCUAACUCCGUGCCAGCAGCCGCGGUAAUA
rnacentral:rRNA from 1 species